AAAACGUAACUACUUUAUUGCUCUGUUUACUUUUCUCUUGGUCGCAGCGAAUCUCCGUCUUAUCUCUUCUUUGAUGUUCAUUAAAAUAAAUCGCAAGUAUGAGAAGAUUGAAGAAUCAUAUCCAUGCUGAGAGCAACGAUUUUAUGUAUGUCAACUCCAUUCACUCAGUCAAGAAAAUGUAUAAAAGGUCGAUACUGACCUCCUGCCCCAGUUAUUUUAACUGUGUCAACGACCUUCCAUUCACCAACAGGACGCACUCAAGAGUAUCACCAGAAAAACUGGUGCUUUGUUUCCACGAAUGAAGAAGUUUGAGGGUUAGACGCCAUUCAUCUCGGUAGUCAGACUGGAGUUAGUGACAAUGGAACAUUGUGUGAUGGAAAUCUUGAAAAUAUGGCCCGAAAGUCUGUACAUCCCAAUAGCCGGGUAAACAGAAAAAUUCUCGAGGAACUUCCAUUGACCGACUUGCAAAUUCUUAACACGAGCAAGGAAGAUCCUCUUACAGGUACAAUACAUCUCGGUUCCCUACAAUAACAAAUAGUCAUAUGUUGGUUUAGUCGUUGGAUACUGAAAGUUAUAGAUAACAAAUAGAUUAAAAAGAAAGAAAUACCAUCCUAUCUUCAAGUAAGAAUUCGAAAGUGUCUUCUCCAGAAUAGUUUGAUUGUUGCGACCACGAACGAAGAACUUUUACUUCAACCUUCCAAGUAUUCUUAUAUGGUUUGAGAUUGUUCAACAUAGUGAUUUCGCUGUUUGUAACCAUAGCCAUAAUAUUUUUUUUACGGCCGCUCGGUGGAAUAAGAUAGGUUAUAAACUGAAGUGUAUGAUCUAGGUUAUAAGGAGUGAUUGCUUGUGGAGAUAUUCUAGUGAAUAUUUUUUGGAUUGUAAUAUCUUUUUUGGUAACAACUCCUACGUUUUUUGGUAACGAAUUAUAGACGGCUUUUAAGGACCA